AGAAUGGGAAGAGUAUCCUGCAUUAAAGAUAAUGUUGGCUAAUUCUCAUAGAUCCAAAGGGAGAGUACCAAAGAACACCUCUCUCUUUCUCUCUCUGAGUAAUGUCGGACUGUGGGUCUCUGCAUCUGCUCCCAUCUCUGCCACAGGAAGCCUGUCCGAGGACAACUGGAGAAGGCAACAACUAAUGACUGUAGCAGAAUAUAUUAGACACAAUUUCAUUAGUUUUAUUUUAUAUUUUUAGACCAAAAGUGCUUGAUUCUACCUUAGGUCUUCGGGAUAACCAGUAUCAGUUUCCUGGCCAUCUUAAUCGUGUUUGGCAUGGGCUCCCUCUUGUAGAGUGGGCCUCAAGUUAAAUCAGACAUUACUUGGUCACUACCACAAGUUCUUUGCCAACAUUGCCUCAAUACAUCUUGCAGGCAGGAUAUAUCAUAGGUCAGAGGUAUUGUGGCUGGCUUAGUGUAAAGAUUUUUCUUUCAGUACGAGCAUCAGCAUGUUUUUUUUUUUGUUUGUUUGGUUGUGUUUUUUGUUCUUUUUUUUUAAAAUCUCUACAGGACCCCCUCAGACAAAAACUCAAAAGAAGGUAACCUAGUUCUGCCACUGGGAGCUUUCCCUGCCUAGAAGAGGUGGCCAGUUCAUACUUCAUAUCCUCUAUUAUGAGUCCUCACUCACUAAGAUUGCCCUACGAGAUUACAGGAAGCUCUACACCAUGUCCCAAAUAUCCCUCAAUUCCAGAUGUCUAUCACUAUAAUUUCUUCCUCCAUCCCAUCCCCCUAUUUUAUCCCUUUCAUUCCUGCUCCCUCCCACCAAAGUCCGCCCACAAUCUCCAUUCUAUUUCUGCUUACCUGGAAGAGCCAUGCAUCCACCCCCACCAUUCUAGAACCCUCAUCUUUACAUAAACUGUGGAUUAUACUCUAAUUAUCAUUUACCUAAAGGCUAUUAUCCACUUAUAAGUGAAUACAUAUCAUGUGUGAAUUUCUAGGUCUUACUUAUCUGACUCAGAAUGAUAUUUUCUAGUUCCAUCCAUUUGCCUAAAAAUAUCAUAAUGACAUUUUUUAGGCUGAGUGAUACUAUAUUGUGUAUAUCUACCACAUUUUUUCUUUAUUCAUUUUUUGGUUGAGGGACAUAUAGGUUGUUUAUGGUUUCUGACUAUUAUGAAUAUAGCCACACGAACAUAGUUAAUCAGGUGUCUUGGUGGUAGGAUGGUAUAUUAUUUGUGUAUAUACCAAUAGUGGUAUAUAUGGGUCUUGAUAUAGGUUGAUUACCAAUUUUCUGAGAAACUGCAUAUUGAUAUCUCUAAUGUUUAUCCCAUUUUCUAAUUAAAUAUUUGGUCUUAUACUGAAAUUGGCUAUUGUAUAUUGUUCAACUCAUUUCUGUGUAUUCUGAAUGUCAAUCUCUUGUCAGAUUUACCAUUUGAAAGUAUGUAUCCAAUUGUGCCUCUUGUCUCUGAAAGCUAUGUUUCGUCUUUGUUGUAUUGAAGCUACUUGGUUUGAGAUAACCAUAUUAUUUUUCCCUGUGUUUAUAAGUUCUAAUACUAAAACAAAGUCUUGGCUAUAUAAAUAUUUUAAGGAGA